rnacentral:rRNA from 1 species
GAUGAACGCUGGCGGCGUGCCUAAUACAUGCAAGUCGAGCGAACAGACGAGGAGCUUGCUCCUCUGACGUUAGCGGCGGACGGGUGAGUAACACGUGGAUAACCUACCUAUAAGACUGGGAUAACUUCGGGAAACCGGAGCUAAUACCGGAUAAUAUAUUGAACCGCAUGGUUCAAUAGUGAAAGACGGUUUUGCUGUCACUUAUAGAUGGAUCCGCGCCGCAUUAGCUAGUUGGUAAGGUAACGGCUUACCAAGGCAACGAUGCGUAGCCGACCUGAGAGGGUGAUCGGCCACACUGGAACUGAGCCACGGUCCAGACUCCUACGGGAGGCAGCAGUAGGGAAUCUUCCGCAAUGGGCGAAAGCUUGCCGGAGCAACGCCGCGUGAGUGAUGAAGGUCUUCGGAUCGUAAAACUCUGUUAUUAGGGAAGAACAAAUGUGUAAGUAACUAUGCACGUCUUGACGGUACCUAAUCAGAAAGCAACGGCUAACUACGUG